ACUUCUCCCUACCCGUCUCUUCGCUCGCCGUCGGCCGCCAGUGACGCCGCCGAGGUUACUCAUGGAACCAACCAUACCUUCCGCUCUGGCUCUUCUCGUGGAGGAGCCAUCGUCUCUUCGCCAUUGCCUUCGUGGUCACCUAUGGUACCUAACCAUUCUCGCGGAGCCGCCGCUGUCUCUUCGCCAUUGCCUUCGUGGUCACCUAUGGUACCUAACCAUUCUCGCGGAGCCGCCGCUGUCUCUUCGCCAUUGCCUUCGUCCUCACCUAUGGUACCUAACCAUUCUCGCGGAGCCGCCGCUGUCUCUUCGCCAUUGCCUUCGUCCUCCCCUUUGGUGCCCUAGCUCUACUGAACUCACCCUCAGAGACCCACCAUGAACAUGAACAAUUUGCAUCCUCCCCUGUCCUGGCCGCCGCAAUCUCAU
rnacentral:lncRNA from 1 species